CCUACGGGAGGCAGCAGUGAGGAAUAUUGGUCAAUGGACGUGAGUCUGAACCAGCCAAGUAGCGUGAAGGAUGACUGCCCUAUGGGUUGUAAACUUCUUUUAUGUGGGGAUAAAGUUUUCCACGUGUGGAAUUUUGUAUGUACCAUAUGAAUAAGGACCGGCUAACUCCGUGCCAGCAGCCGCGGUAAUACGGAGGGUCCGGGCGUUAUCCGGAUUUAUUGGGUUUAAAGGGAGCGUAGGUGGAUGUUUAGGUCAGUCGUGAAAGUUUGCGGCUCAACCUUAAAAGUGCAGUGGAAACUGGCAGCCUUGAGUGCAGUAGAGGUGGGCGGAAUUCGUGGUGUAGCGGUGAAAUGCUUAGAUAUCACGAAGAACCCCGAUUGCGAAGGCAGCCUGCUGGAGUGCAACUGACACUGAGGCUCGAAAGUGUGGGUAUCAAACAGGAUUAGAUACCCCUGUAGUC
rnacentral:rRNA from 1 species